rnacentral:rRNA from 1 species
GGGGAAUAUUGCACAAUGGGCGAAAGCCUGAUGCAGCGACGCCGCGUGCGGGAUGAAGGCCUUCGGGUUGUAAACCGCUUUUAAUUGGGAGCAAGCGAGAGUGAGUGUACCUUUUGAAUAAGCACCGGCUAACUACGUGCCAGCAGCCGCGGUAAUACGUAGGGUGCAAGCGUUAUCCGGAAUUAUUGGGCGUAAGGAGCUCGUAGGCGGUUUGUCACGCCUGGUGUGAAAGUCCAUCGCUUAACGGUGGAUCUGCGCCGGGUACGGGCAGGCUAGAGUGCAGUAGGGGAGAUUGGAAUUCCCGGUGUAACGGUGGAAUGUGUAGAUAUCGGGAAGAACACCAAUGGCGAAGGCAGAUCUCUGGGCUGUUACUGACGCUGAGGAGCGAAAGCA